rnacentral:misc_RNA from 1 species
ACAAAUCAAUUUGGUUGUGUAUGUGUGGAUGCUUGAUGUGUAUAGUGUUAUGCGCUAUAUAUAUCUAGUGUCUUCAUACACACACCUAACAUUUGUGCUCCAGGCAUUUCGUCUGGGUGCAAUUAUAUAUAUUCAUUAUUGUCAGUUGUUUUGUCUAUUUUAAAUUUAUAUC